rnacentral:rRNA from 1 species
GAUGAACGCUGGCGGCGUGCCUAAUACAUGCAAGUCGAGCGAACAGACGAGGAGCUUGCUCCUCUGACGUUAGCGGCGGACGGGCGAGUAACACGUGGAUAACCUACCUAUAAGUCUGGGAUAACUUCGGGAAACCGGAGCUAAUACCGGAUAAUAUAUUGAACCGCAUGGUUCAAUAGUGAAAGACGGUUUUGCUGUCACUUAUAGAUGGAUCCGCGCCGCAUUAGCUAGUUGGUAAGGUAACGGCUUACCAAGGCAACGAUGCGUAGCCGACCUGAGAGGGUGAUCGGCCACACUGGAACUGAGACACGGUCCAGACUCCUACGGGAGGCAGCAGUAGGGAAUCUUCCGCAAUGGGCGAAAGCCUGACGGAGCAACGCCGCGUGAGUGAUGAAGGUCUUCGGAUCGUAAAACUCUGUUAUUAGGGAAGAACAAAUGUGUAAGUAACUAUGCACGUCUUGACGGUACCUAAUCAGAAAGCCCCGGCUAACUACGUG